rnacentral:rRNA from 1 species
UCCAGGCAAAUCCGGAUAAUCAAGGCUGAGGUGUGAUGACGAGGCACUACGGUGCUGAAGUAACAAAUGCCCUGCUUCCAGGAAAAGCCUCUAAGCAUCAGGUAACAUCAAAUCGUACCCCAAACCGACACAGGUGGUCAGGUAGAGAAUACCAAGGCGCUUGAGAGAACUCGGGUGAAGGAACUAGGCAAAAUGGUGCCGUAACUUCGGGAG